rnacentral:sRNA from 1 species
CUGUGUGGGCCAGGAGUGAGCAUCAGAGGCAAAGCUGUAGACGGUUAUGAGCUACCUUGUGUGAGUGCUUGGGACUGAACUUGCUUUUUGCCACUGAGCCAUGUCUCCAGCCUCUGUGGCUGCAUUUUAGGAAGCCGCAGUGCACUUGAACCCCAGCUUCCCACGGCACACACAAUGAUGUGCUCUCGGGUAGGGUGUUCGACCUCCCCUUUCUCUCUCUAGUCCUUGGUAACUGGCUCCAAAUGAACUACCUGCAUGCCAACCUUGGCUCCAAUGAUGUACCUCUAUGCCAGCCAUGGCUCUGCUCCCAGGAAGCCUCGGCAAUGAUAGCACGCCAUCAUGCAAUGUCAAUUUGCUAGCCACGAACCUCCAAGGAUUCAUUCUCCUGUCUCCACCUGCCAUCUCCUCAUAGGAGUUCGGAGAUUAUGGACGAUGGUUCUGCUGUUUCCAGCUUUCUGCAUGGGUUCUGGGGACUAGAACUCAUAUCUUCUGGAUGGUGCAGACAGUGCUUGUAUCACAGAGCCAUUUCCCCGGACAUCACAAGCCUUUAGAGAGAGGACACAUUUUUGGAAUUUGUAUUUGCUGCGUACUUUGAAUCUAUUGGUUUAGCUUUGGCUUUGCGCAACCCCAGCAUGAACAGGAGGCUGUUACCACAUUUGAUUUCUUUUGGUCAAAAAACAGGAAGGAAACAAGAGAGGAGGAUGGGCCACCCUCAUCUCGAAGCCAGAGUCACCUUUCACUGAUUUUUCUGGAUGCUCAGAAAGUGAUGAAAUUUAGUGUUUGAAGGAAAUUUAGAUUUACAAGAGCUGCAGAAGUAGCUCAGAGUUCCUGGUGCACACUCUUUGAAAGACAGCCUUGUCUACUUUAGGCUAUAAGAUGAUUUCCAUGGGAAGCAGGAGGCCACACUCGUACCACCCAGAGCAGCAGUCCAGCAAGCCUUGGAAGAGCCUUGUCCUGCCAUUGCCUGUUUAGGAUCACCAUACAGGAAAGCACCGGGUGAGCCAUCAAGGUUGUGGUGUGCAUUGUGCCUUUUGGUUUUGAGAAAGGGCUGGCCUCAAAUUUGACAUCUACAUGAGGAUGAUUUUGAACUUCUGAACCUCCUGCCCCUGUCUCUCCAGUGCUGGGAGUUACAAGCAUCGUCCACACCUAUUCAUGAAACAGUAGAUAUGGAACCAGGGCUCAGCGCACGUGAGGCAAACGCUCUACCCACUGAGCCACAUCCCCAGACCGAAGGAUUAGUGUGAUUCACUGCACCAAUUGUGAAGAACACGCCUGCCAGAGCCUGCCUUUCAUUCCUGCUGGAUACUCCAGGAUCCUGCUCGAGACUCUUGGGGUGUUAGGACACCCACAAAGAGAGCCUGAAAGAGGGACCGCCUGGAUCAGGCUGGGCAGUGAUGUCUCUGGGGGAUUAUCUUGAUUUGCCUUAAUUGGUGUGAAGACGAAACCUGAAUGUGGGCGGCACCAUUCCCUGGGCCCGCUGAGCUGUGUAAGAGUGGAGAAGGUGAGCAAGAUCGAGGGUGGGUGUGUCCUUCUGUCCUGCAUUUGGCUGUGGAUGGGCUGAAGCUGGCUGCCUGAACUUCUUGCCUUCCUCCGUUGAGGAGCUGCGGCUGGACUCGUGGGCCAAACAAGUCAGUUCUCCCCUAAGGUGUUUGCUUGGUCAGGAUGUUUUAUCACACCUUGACCUAAUGAAACCAGGAUAAACUGUGAUGUCUGCUCCUGCCACACCACCUUCCUACUGGGGUCUUCCCCGUGCUGGGCACAGCGCCAGGCACAUUCCAGCAGUCACUUUGCUUAGUUUACAGGAAGCCCCAGGGAGGUGACAUUCUUAUCCCUUUCUGAGUGUGUCAACACACUCAGAGGCUGAACUGCCUUACUUGGAUUUCAGCCUGAGAGAUACUGGUACCCGUCUCUCCAGUUUGUCCUGUGUGGACUGUAGGGUACCCUGAGAAGCACUGUUAGUACCCAAAACUCACCACCUUGUGCAAACUGGCUCCCUGUGCUUGCCUGGGUUGUCCUCUGGGAAGGCAGUGCCUAUAGUGCCAAAUCAAUGUUACCUCUUGUAGGACAACCAGAGCUGCGUUUGAACUUGAUAAAUGUGUGUGUGUGUGUGUGUGUGUGUGUGUGUGUGUGUGUGUGUGUGUGUGCAUGCCUGUGU